AACAGGCUGUGGUCCAUCUUGUGUUAGUUAUACAAAUCUUUGGUCGUGGGAGGCAACCUCCGCUCGCUGGGGCUCGAGCAGGAAGGAUGCGCUGCAGGCUUUAGCAGAGACAAGAAAAGUGUCGUUUACAGUUCUGACGGAAGAUAAAUGACAGCUCAUAUUGCAGCCUGGACAUCUUACAUUUGGAAUUCGUAGGACUGUUUACACACACAAAGAAAGUUUGAUUUUGAAUGAAGCAACACAUCUGCUAGUACCUUCAAGAUGGCUACCAGAUAUCAAAAACGAUAGCAUAAUUGUAAAAUCAAGAACUCCAGAUCUGACAGAAGCAACAUGAAAAGUGAAAACAGUGGCGG